AGUGAACGCUGGCGGUAGGCCUAACACAUGCAGGUCGAACGGCAGCACAGUAAGAGCUUGCUCUUACGGGUGGCGAGUGGCGGACGGGUGAGGAAUACAUCGGAAUCUACUUUUUCGUGGGGGAUAACGUAGGGAAACUUACGCUAAUACCGCAUACGACCUACGGGUGAAAGCAGGGGAUCUUCGGACCUUUCGCGAUUGAAUGAGCCGAUGUCGGAUUAGCUAGUUGGCGGGGUAAAGGCCCACCAAGGCGACGAUCCGUAGCUGGUCUGAGAGGAUGAUCAGCCACACUGGAACUGAGACACGGUCCAGACUCCUACGGGAGGCAGCAGUGGGGAAUAUUGGACAAUGGGCGCAAGCCUGAUCCAGCCAUACCGCGUGGGUGAAGAAGGCCUUCGGGUUGUAAAGCCCUUUUGUUGGGAAAGAAAAGCAGCAGGUUAAUACCCCGCUGUUCUGACGGUACCCAAAGAAUAAGCACCGGCUAACUUCGUG
rnacentral:rRNA from 1 species